UCGAUGUCGGUGAUAAAUUAAAAUUAUAAAUUUAAUCAAAUAUAAAGAUAUAAAGAUGCCAUAAAUAUGACUUCAAUAAGAUAAAUUAAUAUUAUUUUUUAUUAUAAAUUAAUAUUUAAUAUUAAUAUUUGAUAAUAAAAAGAUACCAUAAUACGUUUAAUCAUAAUAAGUUAUACUGAUGGUUAUAAACUAUUGCUAC
rnacentral:lncRNA from 1 species